rnacentral:rRNA from 1 species
ACGAACGCUGGCGGCAGGCCUAACACAUGCAAGUCGAACGCUCCGCAAGGGGAGUGGCGCACGGGUGAGUAACACGUGGGAACCUACCUUCUGGUACGGAACAACCAAGGGAAACUUUGGCUAAGACCGUAUACGACCUCCGGGUGAAAGAUUGAUCGCCGGAAGAGGGGCCCGCGUCCGAUUAGGUAGUUGGUGAGGUAACGGCUCACCAAGCCUUCGAUCGGUAGCUGGUCUGAGAGGAUGACCAGCCACACUGGGACUGAGACACGGCCCAGACUCCUACGGGAGGCAGCAGUGGGGAAUAUUGGACAAUGGGCGCAAGCCUGAUCCAGCCAUGCCGCGUGAGUGAUG